rnacentral:rRNA from 1 species
UACGGAGGAUACGAGCGUUAUCUGGAUUUAUUGGGUUUAAAGGGUGCGUAGGCGGGCUGUUAAGUCAGCGGUAAAAGCCCGGGGCUCAACCCCGGCGAGCCGUUGAAACUGGCUGUCUUGAGAUGUCGAGAGGUAUGCGGAACGCGCAGUGUAGCGGUGAAAUGCUUAGAUAUUGCGCAGAACUCCGAUUGCGAAGGCAGCAUACCGGCGGCGAUCUGACGCUGAGGCACGAAAGCGUGGGUAUCGAACAGG